rnacentral:lncRNA from 1 species
CCUAGUCCUCAUUUGUAAUGGUGUCACGACCCUAAACUGGAGGGCCAUGACUGGUACCCGGGCCAUACUUGCCGAGCACCGGCCUAUAUUUUAUCUAACCUUUCUUAUUAUCGGUUAGGUCCAACAAGGUCAACAUAAAUGGUAGAGAUGAAUCAUAAACAUCCAAAAAUGGCAGAUAACUAUAUGAACACAUAUAACAUGGUACGACAAGGUUGUCGUAAAGCUAUAUACAACAAAAACCAGCUGACAAGGCUAUCCAAAACUAUACAUGAGACGACACUUAUCUAUGAGCCUCUAAAGAAAUAUAAGUGCCGGAACAUUGCCGAAACAUGUCCCCGAUAUACCCAUAAUGCCUAUAACAAAAAUUCAUACCAAGACCACGGCAAGUCCGGAUAAGGGAUCUCGCCAAUAACCGCUGAACUGGGCAGCCUAUUAUGGUAGGGGAGCCUCGUCUACAUGUCUAUCAGGGCCUGCAGCACGACAUGCAACGUCCACAUAUAAAAGGGACGCCAGUAAGAAUAAAGUAAUGAGUAUGUAAGGUAAGAAGCAUAAAUAAGAAUAGUAAUAUAAAGAGGGAUAGAGAAUAUACAACCUGUAACAUCUCACUCCCUCUGAGGGCGACUGACAAGAAAUGAAUCAUAUAUAUAUAUAUAUAUAUACACACCUUUAAAAACAUACGCCUCUGAGGAAAAUCAUCAUCAUNNNNNNNNNNNNNNNNNNNNNNNNNCUUACGUAUAGUACUAUACUAUUAUACGUAAGUUAUACGAUAUAUAUAUAUAUAUAUAUAUAUAUAUAUAUAACGCAUGCUGGACUCAUGGGAUCAAUUCUAAACUUUUCGGAGUGACGUAAGGUCGGUAACCUCCGUAUACGUUAUUAGACCUAAUCCGUCAUCAUGAAUCUUAUAGGAAUCCGGAAAUACCAACAACAUUUGAUACAUACGAAUAAGAGGAGCAACAUCAACAUCAAUCUUUCUAUAAGAAAGGGAAACAAUGUGAGUAUUGCUAGCUUCUAAGAGUGGAGUAUCUUUGGAAGCUCAUUCAUUACAUUAUGUACAAUCGGAGUCGUGCAAAGAAAGAAAGAGAUAGCGUCACAUACCUUCUGUAUACUGCUCAACCUCAAGCUAUGCAAAUCUCAUGACUCCUUAGUCUACAAUAAGAGAAACGAUACUAUCGUUAUCAUUUAAGCGUCGUAACUAUUAUAUGUCGACCACGACCUAUUUUAUAAUAAAAUGGGCAGCAUCUUUCCUAUUGAUAUGACUUUCCACAAGUUACAGCAACCACAAAAAAUCCCAAACAACAUCAUCAAUAAUCAUAUUAAGCCUUCCAAACAGUUUAACAAUUGUUACGUGCGGUAAGCUUGGUUACGAUUAACAAACUAUAGUUUAAAUCCCUUUCUUUUCUUGUGAAUAUGUUUACAGCCACAACAACAUUAUACUUAUGUUAUUACACCAACAAAAACAAUACAAUAUUAAUAACCAAUCACCACCCAUUUAGCCCCUUAAAAAAUGCAAGAGCAACUCCCACAAUUUAAUAAAAUAAUAUCCAAUACUAGUCCACAAUUCCUAGUUAUUGCUCCAUAUGGUUUCAUGGAACUAAUAUUUCUAACACUUAUACAAUCUCACACACAUGAAGAAAUGGGGAUUUCUUACCUUAGAUGUCCAAGGACAACUCCUAUCCCCACAUUAAUUCAACUAGAACAUGCCAUGAACAUCUCUUGCUCCUACAGUCUAUAAAGAACAAGAUAAAAUCCCAUAACAUGGAAGAAGAAUCAAAUUGGACUGAAAUCCCAAUCUAUUCACCAUUAAAUAUUUGAAGAAGAACUAAACUUGCCCACAUACAUGACUAAAAACGUUGCUUGUGCAUAAGGUUUAAUUGAGCAAAGUGAAGCUUCGAGUUGCUGGAAGUUUUCCUUCUUUUCCUUGCUUCAAAGGAAUUUCCAAAGUGAAGAACAAUUCUCAAAGUGGAGAAAAACUCUCCUCCAAGUGAAGGAACAACUUGGA